GCCAAGGAGUCUAACAUGUUCGCAAGUCAUUGGGUAAUAAAACCUAAAGGCGUAACAAAAGUAAAAAAAUCUCUUUACUUUGUUAGGGAGGAUGGAUGUUUGUAAAUUUUUGCUUCAUCCCGCACUCCCGGGGCGUCUGUUACUCAUUGCGAGUAAAGGCGCACCUAGAGCGAACACGUUGGGACCCGAAAGAUGGUGAACUAUGCUUGACCAGGAUGAAGCCAGGGGAAACCCUGGUGGAGGUCCGUAGCGAUUCUGACGUGCAAAUCGAUCGUCAGAGUUAAGUAUAGGGGCGAAAGACCUAUCGAACCAUCUAGUAGCUGGUUCCCUCCGAAGUUUCCCUCAGGAUAGCUGGUGCCAAUGAUGAGACGAGUUUCAUCCGGUAAAGCGAAUGAUUAGAGGCCUUGGGGCCGAAACGACCUCAACCUAUUCUCAAACUUUAAAUGGAUGAGAGCCUUGGCUUGCUUAAAAGGUGAAGCCAGGGACUCGAAUCUAGGUGCCAAGUGGGCCAUUUUUGGUAAGA
rnacentral:rRNA from 1 species